CUCAGAAUUAACGCUAGCGAUACACCUAACACAUGCAAGUUGAACGCAUAUAUUUUUAUAUGAGUAGCGAACGGGUGCGUAACACGUGAGAAUCUACCCAUAGCUUAUGGUUAAAUGCCGUAGAAUCUUAUAGAUUUAGAUAUAUAUCGGUUAUGGAUGAGCUUGCGGGGUAUUAGGUAGUUGGUGUGGUAAUGGCGCACCAAGCCCAAGAUGCCUAGCCGGUUUGAGAGAACGAUCGGCCACACUGGGACUGAGACACGGCCCAGACGCUUACGAGCGGCAGCAGUGGGGAAUAUUGGACAAUGGGCGAAAGCCUGAUCCAGUGAUAUCGCUUUGGGGAUGACGGCGACAUACGUUGUAAACCCAAUGAAGUACGUUUAGAUUAUGACCGUACGUAUUUUAGAAGUCCCGGCUAAUCUCGUGCCAGCAGCCGCGGUAAACGCACUCGU
rnacentral:rRNA from 1 species